UGUUCGCAGCCCGAGCGUGGUUCGUAAUGCUUCUCACGCAGUGUGCAUUUGCAUAAGGACAGUUGAUCGUGAUAUCGAGAACAAAACAGCGUGCUUAAGGCUGGAUCAGUAGAUGACAAAGCUUGCUAUAUCAAUGAACCGACCGGUUAUGUGCGGUUUGCAGGUUUCUGCAUGUAAUGGCGUUGGGAAUGUACCCAUCGGCUCACCUCGGCGACCGUGGGACCACAGACCCAAUCAGCUACUCGUUUCGACGAUAUUAACAGGGACCGAUGGAGCAGUCCGUAUUGUCAGACGAGGGGUGAAAUCCUUAGACUCUGACAAGACGAACAAGGGCGAAAGCACUCUGCUAAGAGGCCUUCAUUAAUCAAGAACGAGAGUGCAGGGAUCGAAGAUGAUCAGAUACCGUCGUAGUCUGCUACUGUAAACGAUGCAAACUAGGGAUCAGUUGAUGGGACAACAUGAUUCUGUUGACUCGGUUGGUACCUCCGCUUCUCUCUUAACGCGAAAGCUGCAAGUCUUCGUGUUCAGGGGGGAGUACAGUUGCAAGGCUGAAACUUAAAGGAAUCGACGGAAUGACACCACAAGGCGUGGAUGCUGCGGCUUAAUUUGACCCAACACAGAGAAUGUUACCAGAUCAUGAGGUUUGGAGGAUUGACAGAUUGACAGUUCUUUCUUGAUUCAGUUAAUGGUGGUGCAUGGCCGCUCCUGGUUGGUGGAGUGAUUUGUCUGGUUGAUUCCGUUAACGGACGAGAUCCCACCCCUUCGAUUUCAGUUAUAUCGUACGUAAUCAUUGGACGCUAGCUCAUGUGGUUCGUCCGUUGGUGAGAUCUAAGAUGUAUGCAAGGGGACUAUGUGUGUUGAUAACACAUUGAGGUCUGCGAUGCUCCUAGAUGUUCUGGGCUGCACGCGGCAUACAAUGGUGAAAGCAGUAGGAUUGGUUCGAUCGAGCUCCUGUUUCGAAAGUAUUGGGAAAUCCCCUCAGAUUUGACUGUGGCUGGGAUAGACAAUUGCAACUGUUUGUCUUGAGCUAGGAAUGCCUUGUAAGCACAUCUCAUAACAGUGUAUUGAAUGCGUUCCUGCCGUUUGUACACACCGCCCGUCGUUGCAAUCGAUUGGUUUGAUCGUAGAGUACUUCUGGAGAAACACCAGCAGGCUCUCUCGAGUCUGAUGAUUGGGUUGAAGUUGAGCAAUACUGUGGAACUAGAGAAUGCAAAAGUCGUAACAAGGUAGCC
rnacentral:rRNA from 1 species